ACGCAGCUGCCUCAGUAACCCGUA
rnacentral:siRNA from 1 species